UGGGAUUCCGAGCGCUGCGCUCGAGCGCGAGCUGCGAGUCUGUCAGUGUGGAGCUGAGCGAGGAGUUUACUACAGCACAGCGUUUGGAUUUUCAUUAGGUUUUACUCUGUUUUUGCGAUUUUUUUCCCGCUCAAGAGUUUGUCCUUGGUGUUUUUAACCUGUAAACGUUCACUGGAUACUCUUUUAGGCGGUUUUACUACAGGAGGUUCACACGUGGAGAACAUGGAGAAAAUGUUGCCGUUUUUACGAAUGCUUUCUUUCAUGUCACGGAGACCUUCUGUGGAUUUUGACUUGGUGGAUGUCUAUAUGAAGAUUACUGUUCAUUCGCGCGCACUCUUACAAACUCUGAGGAGGAGGAGGAGGAGGAGGAUACCCUUGUCUGUCUGUCUCUUCAAAGGGAUUCCCAGCCAGCCCGCUGUGGAUACUUGGCUCUCUGGCGAAGCCCGCUCUCAGUCUGGAAUUCUCUGGCUCUCUCGGGAUUAAAAUGCCGCUUCUUGCUUGGAUUUUGUGGCUCAUUCUUCAGGCUCUCGCCCCAGAAAUGGAUGUUACCUCACCAGCGUUGACUGUUGAAAUGCAGCGCCUAUGGAGUAACGGCUGACGGAGGAGUAAAGCAAUGACAUGACACUCCAGCUGGAUACGCGGACAGCUGUGGAAGCCUGAUUCCGGGAAAGCAGACACACUUGCUUGCUUCACGCGGAUUCUUGUGGUACUGGAUAAGUCACUUCUCAAGCAGGACAGAGAGGUGCUCAGGAGACAUCUGACGAACUUUGAGGAGUGAUGGACAAGUACACUGUUGAUUUAUCCACCAGUACAACCAUGGAUUUACAGAGAAUCACAUUCUCCAACACGUUUCACUUUCUCACCACCUGCUUGGGAUCUGGGAUCUGUUUUAUUGGGACACACCAAACAGGAUUACCUAAUUUGUUUUUUCAUGGCAUCAGGGUUAUGGAUUCAACACUCACUUUUUUGGACUAUGAUGAACUUCACUGUCCUGUAAUGAAUGCUGAUGAAGUGUUUUAAUUCAGCUUAAUUAAUAUAGCUGUGAGCUCCACAAUUCACUGGUUGCUUCUGACGUCUGCCAUUCAGGCAGGAUGGGAAAAUUUCACCUUGACCUUUCAUCUUCCUUUACUAAAUAUGACCUUGUUGAUCUCAUCAUGUGUACCAUGUUUGGUAGCCUUGCCACCAAAAAAUUAAAGCAGAAAAAUCUGUGCCAACAAUGGA